rnacentral:sRNA from 1 species
GGCGGAGGUUGCAGUGAGCUGAGAUUGCGCUAUUGCACUCCAGGCUGGGCAACAAGAGCGAAACCCUGCCUCAAAAAAAAAAAAAAAAAAAAAAAAGAGGAGAAGGUAAUUGAUCUCCCAGUAUGUACCAUCUUGCAGUGAAACAAAAAAUAAUAGUAAUAAAGGGUGAUGACUCUUAUGAAGUGGAAGAAUUAGGGUGCUAAAGAGCUUACACCUGGGGAACCUAAUCUGGUUUAGGGGCUAGGAAGGUUCACCUAGAAGAUGACCUAUAGGGUGAGUAGAAGUUACCCAGACAAAGAGGGCAGAAGCACUCCUGGUGGAGAAAACUGCAUGUGGUAAGGCCCGUGAGCAAGAGAGAGGGAGUAUAUUUAUACUGUGGUUGGAACAUGCUGGGCAAAAAUGAGUGUGGAGAGAAAUAGGCAAGACUUGUAUCUAUAAGAAGUAAUGUCCAGUGUUUCAGUUUUACCUUACAGGUGAUGUGAAUAGGGAAUAAUGGGAUCAGAUGGAUCUUCCAUAGGUGUGACAAGUGUUUUGGAGGGAAACACGGUGGAUUCAGGGCUAGGAUGCUGUGAAGACAGUCCAGGUGGGAGAGUAUGUGGCUUUGGGAUAGUAGUAGCAGUGGCAUGGAGAUAAGUGGACAACUUGAGAAUAAUUGAGAAGUGGUAUCAACAGGAUCUGGUGAUUGAUUGGAUUUGAGAAUUGAGGGAGAAGGGGGAAAAUUGAGGGAGAAGGGGGAAGGUGUUAAGAUGAUUUCCAAGGUUCUGGCUUAAGAGUUCAGUGUGUAAUUUCAAUGUGUGUAAUUUCUUGAGAUAAGGAACUCUGGGAACAAGGCAGAUUUGGGUAGAGUGUGGCAGCAUGUGAAGGUAAGUUAAUUUUGGUCAUGCCGAGAUACAAGUGUCUGCAAAGCUUCUGAGAGCCAAAAGCAGUGUCUCAGAGGCACACUACUCAGUCUUACAGGAGAAGAGAGCACCUGUUAGGUGAUCAGAUGGGCUUUGCAGGUACUAGACAAAAUUCUUGGGUCUAAUAGUCAGAUCUUAGGUAGGGCCAGCAUUAGAGAAGGAACUAGUGUUACUCCCAUGGGCUCUGUAAUUCCAAAUGUUACCAUCUGGGUUACUGAGGAGGUCUUACACCUUCUACCUUCCUAGAUUGUUGAUGUCUGCAGAGAGGCUCAGUCUUCAACAGUGCUGUCCAGUAGAACGUGCUGCAGUGAUGGGAAAUGGUCUUAAGAGAUUUUCAUGGUGUUUUAAGCUGUAAAAACUAUGAGCCCUAUUAAUAGCACAUUUUAUAGAGGCUUCAUGAAGUGUUGGGCUUGUUAAAGUAAAUUUCAACCUGAGCUGAGCAGAAUGAAUAUGUAGACAUAAGCCCAAAACAUAAAAGGUGUAUCACUGGCCACGCGAGGUGACUCAUGCCUGCAAUCCCAGCACUUUGGGAGGCCGAGGUGGGUGAAUCACUUGAGUCUAGGAAUUCAGGACCAGCCUGGACAACAUGGUGAAACCCUUUCGCUACAAAAAGUACAAAAAUUAGCUGUGGGAAUGGGGGCACAUUCCUGUAGUUCCAGCUACUUGGGAGGCUGAGGUGGGAGGAUCACCUGAGCCUGGGAGGUCGAGGCUGCGGUAAGUCAAAAUUGCACCACUUCACUCCAGCAGUGUCAAAAAAAAAAUUUUUUUUCUAAAACAUAGGAAAAGAAAGUAUUCAUAAAUAAGAUUUGAGUAAAAAGAUAAAUAACUUGCAGUUAGUUCUGAAAGAAAAUACAGGCAAAUAGAAAUUACCUAAUUUUUUUUUUUUUUUUUUUUGAGACAGAGUCUCACUGUGUCACCCAGACUGGAGUGCAGUGGUGCAAUCUCAGCUCACUGCAACCUCUACCUCCCGAGUUCAAGUGAUUCUCCUGCCUUAGCCUCCUGAAUAGCUGGGAUUACAAGUGUGUGCCACCAUGCCUGGCUAAUUUUUGUAUUUUUAGUAGAGAGGGGGUUUCACCAUGUUGGCCAGGCUGGUCUUGAACUCCUGACCUCAGGUGAUCCACCCACUUCGGCCUCCCAAAGUGCUGGGAUUACAGGUGUGAGCCAUGACGGCCGGCCUAGAAAUUACCUAAGUAUUUCUAAAUUACCUAAAUAAUCCAAUGUUAAAAAUAAUCUGAGAUUGCAUUUGAGUCUAGUCUCUUAGCUAGCAGAAUAAAUCUAGACUGGGGCUGGAUUCCCUGUAUUAUGUCAUGUGACAAGGAGCCUGAGGGUGGAGCAGUUCUAGGGUUAGGUAGUGACUCAGUUGCUCAAUGGUGACAUCAAGGACCUACCUAAAUAUUUUCCACUUUUUUCUUGCUGUCAUGCUUAGUACAUUGGUGACAGCUCCCUCUUAUGAUCACAAAAGAGCUGCACAAUGUCAGGUUUUACAUGCUGAUACAAAGAAGGGUAUUCUAGAAAAAAACACCUUUCCUAGAAGUAUCUUAGCAGGCUUCUUAUCAGGUGCUGGUGGCUGGAGUUUUGUCAUCCAGCCAUGCCUUAGCUGCAAGGGAGUAAGACAGCAAGUGUCUGGCAUUUUCACCAUCAGAAACGAGGGGAAGUGGUAUUGGGGAAAGAAUGUCUGUAGGUGGGGGUGUGUGCUAUUGACUCGGAAAGUAAUCAAACCUAUUAAGUUCAGCACUUUUUGGAGUUCUGUUGGUGGUUCUUUGAGGUAAGCAUUGUUUGAAGGUUCUUAUUUAGAUUGAACGUGGAGGAGAUGUGAUAGUGGACUAUGUAGUAUCGUUAUUAAUACCUGUUUAUCUUUUUCUUUCUUUUUUUUUUUUCUUUGAGAUGGAGUCUCGCUCUGUUUCCAGGCUAGAGUGCAGUGGCGCAACCUUGGCUCGCUUCAACCUUCGCCUCCCGGCUUCAAGUGAUUCUCCUGCCUCAGCCUCCCGGGUAGCUGGGACUACAGGCGCCCGCCACCAUGCCCAGCUAACUUUUGUAUUUUUAGUAGAGACGGGGUUUCACCACUUUGGCCAGGAUGGUCUCGAUCUCUUGAUCUUGUGAUCCGCCCACCUCAGCCUUCCAAAGUGCUGGGAUUACAGGGAGAUGACUUUGGCAGCUGUGUGGACUGGGAGCAGGAACUCAGGGAUGAAUGCAGUAGCCCUCUAUGAUGUGGAAUGAGGACAUGCAUUGUGGCGUGGGAUGAAGAGGGACCGGGGAGACUUACCUAGGAGGCACCAGCUGUAGGUCACGAAAUAUGCAAAAGCUGAAACUCUUAUGACAGUCACUGAUCCUGUUCAUGAUAUUGCAUUCGCUCCAAAUUUGGGAAGAUCUUUCCAUAUUCUAGCAAUAGCAACCAAAGAUGUGAGAAUUUUUACAUUAAAGCCUGUGAGGAAAGAACUGACUUCCUCUGGUGGGCCAACAAAGUUUGAAAUCCAUAUAGUGGCUCAGUUUGAUAAUCAUAAUUCUCAGGUCUGGCGAGUGAGUUGGAAUAUAACAGGAACGGUGCUAGCAUCUUCAGGAGAUGAUGGGUGUGUAAGAUUGUGGAAAGCUAAUUAUAUGGACAAUUGGAAGUGUACUGGUAUUUUAAAAGGUAAUGGGAGCCCAGUCAAUGGGAGUUCUCAGCAGGGAACCUCAAAUCCUUCCCUAGGUUCAAAUAUUCCAAGUCUUCAGAAUUCAUUAAAUGGAUCUUCUGCUGGCAGAAAGCACAGCUGAGUACAAGCUAACUGGAGUAACUUUGCUGUUUUGCUGCUUGUUGCAUGCACACAGGAAUGGAAAGCGAGCUCCUUUUCCCCUUCCCCAGCGCCGUUUGACCUCUCCCAAGAUACACCAGCAGCCUGCUUACUACUAAACGCAAUCCAAAAGGCCUUUAAAAAUACAGUGUAUUUUUUUUGUACUAGUCAGUUUAUUGACACUAUUUGAAACUUUUGAAAUAUAAACGGAGAGGCUUUCUGUUGAGACAUUGUCACCAAAACAAUUUUUUGAAAUGUUCCUGAAACUAAUUUGGGUUUAAAGAUUAAAAGGGUUGUUACCAUUCUUAUCUGAGUAGUUGGGAGGAGGGGAAAUACCACUUUAUUUCAUUUGGAAAAUAUAUACAUAUUUCUUUUGCUUUCUUAAAACAGCUUAAAAUGAUGAACUUUUAUAAUUUUAAUUUGAAGAUUGAAUAAAUAUUUUUUAUAAAG